ACCUCGACCCUCCGCGGAACAGCUCGGCUCCAGCCCUUCCCUGGGGACAUCCUUCACUUUGACACUCCCCAUCUCCUAGCUGGCGCUGAAGCACCUCUCUCUCCUCACCUCGGACAGGGAUCCCCGGACCCCAGACUCGGGACCGGAAUCCCGGGUCCUGAACAUGUAGCGUCCACAGAGCAACUGAACUGCACGCCUAACAGAGGGAAAGUGGAGGAGAGAGGACCUGGCGCCGAGCUCCAGUGGAAACUUCAGGACCUGGAGCCGCUGAACCUCUAAGUCCGACUGGGCGCACCUCUGCACCGCAGCCUGUCUUUAUUCCUAGGGCAUAGGUUUCAGUUUCCUUUCUCCUCUCAGCCUCACUUAGUUUCAGUUUCCUUUCCUCAAGAACUGGCUGAUGCUGAUUUGGAAAAUAUGGCUUUUAACAUCGUUCUCUUCCAUCUGAAUUUUAAGAUAGAAAAAAGCAAAGGUAAUAUUAAAGGACAUUGGAAUUGGGGCAUAAAUAUAGAGGAAACUGAAGCAGAGAAAUCUGGGGACAUCUCAAUGCGACAAAAUCAAAAAGGUGGUUGACUUAGACUAUAACAUGGUGGAAUCUGAAAUGCCAGGCGAGAUAUGGGGAAUGUCUGGUCCCCAAACUGAUGAUUACUGUUCUAUGUGAAUUUGGAAUUAUUGUUGAAACCUCCGUUGCAAGCAUCAACAGGUAAAAAUAAAUAGAUAGAUAGAUAGAUAGAUAUCAGCCUGGAUGCUACUUUCAUCUACUUAUUUCAACAAUAGGAACCUCCUUUCUUUUUAGUGACCUGAUGU
rnacentral:lncRNA from 1 species